CUACGGGUCGCAGCAGGCGAGAAAACUUUGCAAUGUGCGAAAGCACGACAAGGUUAAUCCGAGUGGUUUGUGCUAAACGAACCUUUUGACAGUCCUAGAAACACUGUUGAAUAAGGGGUGGGCAAGUUCUGGUGUCAGCCGCCGCGGUAAAACCAGCACCUCAAGUGGUCAGGAUGAUUAUUGGGCCUAAAGCAUCCGUGGCCGGCUCUGUUAGUUUUCGGUUAAAUCUGUACGCUCAACGUACAGGCUGCCGGGAAUACUGCAGAGCUAGGGAGUGGGAGAGGUAGACGGUACUCGGUAGGAAGGGGUAAAAUCCUUUGAUCUAUUGAUGACCACCUGUGGCGAAGGCGGUCUACCAGAACACGUCCGACGGUGAGGGAUGAAAGCUGGGGGAGCAAACCGGAUUAGAUACCCGAGUAGUC
rnacentral:rRNA from 1 species